CCCUUAGAUGUUCUGGGCCGCACGCGUGCUACACUGAGUGGAUCAGCGGGCCAGGUUGCGCGAAAGCGUUUCCUAAUCUUUAAAUCCGCUCGUGAUGGGGAUUGACGGUUGCAAUUUUCUGUCAUGAACGAGGAAUACCUUGUAAGCGCGGGUCAUCAUCCCGCGCUGAAUACGUCCCUGCCCUUUGUACACACCGCCCGUCGCUACUACCGAUUGAACGGUUUAGUGAGGGCCUCGGAUUGGUCUCGGCCCGCUCUUUACCGGGCGGCGCCGUUGGUCGAGAAGACGCUCGAACUUGAUCGUUUAGAGGAAGUAAAAGUCGUAACA
rnacentral:rRNA from 1 species